GAUUAUGGCUCAGGAUGAACGCUAGCGGGAGGCCUAACACAUGCAAGCCGAGGGGUAUUGUAGCUUGCUACAGAGAGACCGGCGCACGGGUGCGUAACGCGUAUGCAACUUGCCCUACUGAAAGGGAUAGCCUUUUUGAAAAGAAGAUUAAUACCUUAUAAUAGUGAGACUGGCAUCAGUAACACUUGAAAGAUUUAUCGCAGUAGGAUAGGCAUGCGUCAGAUUAGCUAGUUGGUAAGGUAACGGCUUACCAAGGCGAUGAUCUGUAGGGGGCCUGAGAGGGUGAACCCCCACACUGGUACUGAGACACGGACCAGACUCCUACGGGAGGCAGCAGUGAGGAAUAUUGGACAAUGGGUGGAAGCCUGAUCCAGCCAUCCCGCGUGAAGGAUGACGGCCUUAUGGGUUGUAAACUUCUUUUAUAUGGGGAUAAACCUUAUCACGUGUGAUAAGCUGAAGGUACCAUAUGAAUAAGCACCGGCUAACUCCGUGCCAGCAGCGGC
rnacentral:rRNA from 1 species